CUGACGGAGCACGCCGCGUGAGUGAUGAAGGUUUUCGGAUCGUAAAGCUCUGUUGUUAGGGAAGAACAAGUGCGAGAGUAACUGCUCGCACCUUGACGGUACCUAACCAGAAAGCCACGGCUAACUACGUGCCAGCAGCCGCGGUAAUACGUAGGUGGCAAGCGUUGUCCGGAAUUAUUGGGCGUAAAGGGCUCGCAGGCGGUUUCUUAAGUCUGAUGUGAAAGCCCCCGGCUCAACCGGGGAGGGUCAUUGGAAACUGGGAAACUUGAGUGCAGAAGAGGAGAGUGGAAUUCCACGUGUAGCGGUGAAAUGCGUAGAGAUGUGGAGGAACACCAGUGGCGAAGGCGACUCUCUGGUCUGUAACUGACGCUGAGGAGCGAAAGCGUGGGGAGCGAACAGGAUUAGAUACCCUGGUAGUCCACGCCGUAAACGAUGAGUGCUAAGUGUUAGGGGGUUUCCGCCCCUUAGUGCUGCAGCUAACGCAUUAAGCACUCCGCCUGGGGAGUACGGUCGCAAGACUGAAACUCAAAGGAAUUGACGGGGGCCCGCACAAGCGGUGGAGCAUGUGGUUUAAUUCGAAGCAACGCGAAGAACCUUACCAGGUCUUGACAUCCUCUGACAACCCUAGAGAUAGGGCUUUCCCUUCGGGGACAGAGUGACAGGUGGUGCAUGGUUGUCGUCAGCUCGUGUCGUGAGAUGUUGGGUUAAGUCCCGCAACGAGCGCAACCCUUGAUCUUAGUUGCCAGCAUUCAGUUGGGCACUCUAAGGUGACUGCCGGUGACAAACCGGAGGAAGGUGGGGAUGACGUCAAAUCAUCAUGCCCCUUAUGACCUGGGCUACACACGUGCUACAAUGGACAGAACAAAGGGCUGCAAGACCGCAAGGUUUAGCCAAUCCCAUAAAUCUGUUCUCAGUUCGGAUCGCAGUCUGCAACUCGACUGCGUGAAGCUGGAAUCGCUAGUAAUCGCGGAUCAGCAUGCCGCGGUGAAUACGUUCCCGGGCCUUGUACACACCGCCCGUCACACCACGAGAGUUUGCAACACCCGAAGUCGGUGAGGU
rnacentral:rRNA from 1 species